AGAGUUUGAUCCUGGCUCAGAUUGAACGCUGGCGGCAUGCCUUACACAUGCAAGUCGAACGGCAGCACGGGAGCAAUCCUGGUGGCGAGUGGCGAACGGGUGAGUAAUACAUCGGAACGUGCCCAGUUGUGGGGGAUAGCCCGGCGAAAGCCGGAUUAAUACCGCAUAAGACCUGAGGGUGAAAGCGGGGGACCGCAAGGCCUCGCGCGAUUGGAGCGGCCGAUGUCAGAUUAGGUAGUUGGUGGGGUAAAGGCCUACCAAGCCGACGAUCUGUAGCUGGUCUGAGAGGACGACCAGCCACACUGGGACUGAGACACGGCCCAGACUCCUACGGGAGGCAGCAGUGGGGAAUUUUGGACAAUGGGCGCAAGCCUGAUCCAGCCAUGCCGCGUGUGGGAAGAAGGCCUUCGGGUUGUAAACCACUUUUGUCAGGGAAGAAACGGCCUGAUCUAAUACAUUGGGUUAAUGACGGUACCUGAAGAAUAAGCACCGGCUAACUACGUGCCAGCAGCCGCGGUAAUACGUAGGGUGCGAGCGUUAAUCGGAAUUACUGGGCGUAAAGCGUGCGCAGGCGGCUUUGCAAGACAGAUGUGAAAUCCCCGGGCUCAACCUGGGAACUGCAUUUGUGACUGCAAGGCUAGAGUACGGUAGAGGGGGAUGGAAUUCCGCGUGUAGCAGUGAAAUGCGUAGAUAUGCGGAGGAACACCGAUGGCGAAGGCAAUCCCCUGGACCUGUACUGACGCUCAUGCACGAAAGCGUGGGGAGCAAACAGGAUUAGAUACCCUGGUAGUCCACGCCCUAAACGAUGUCAACUGGUUGUUGGACGGCUUGCUGUUCAGUAGCGAAGCUAACGCGUGAAGUUGACCGCCUGGGGAGUACGGCCGCAAGGUUGAAACUCAAAGGAACUGACGGGGACCCGCACAAGCGGUGGAUGAUGUGGUUUAAUUCGAUGCAACGCGAAAAACCUUACCUACCCUUGACAUGUCAGGAAGUGACCAGAGAUGGUUUCGUGCUCGAAAGAGAACCUGAACACAGGUGCUGCAUGGCCGUCGUCAGCUCGUGUCGUGAGAUGUUGGGUUAAGUCCCGCAACGAGCGCAACCCUUAUCAUUAGUUGCUACUGCAAAGGGCACUCUAAUGAGACUGCCGGUGACAAACCGGAGGAAGGUGGGGAUGACGUCAGGUCAUCAUGGCCCUUAUGGGUAGGGCUACACACGUCAUACAAUGGCCGGUACAGAGGGCUGCCAACCCGCGAGGGGGAGCUAAUCUCAGAAAACCGGUCGUAGUCCGGAUCGCAGUCUGCAACUCGACUGCGUGAAGUCGGAAUCGCUAGUAAUCGCGAUCAGCUUGCCGCGGUGAAUACGUUCCCGGGUCUUGUACACACCGCCCGUCACACCAUGGGAGCGGGUUCUGCCAGAAGUAGUUAGCCUAACCGCAAGGGGGGCGAUUACCACGGCAGGGUUCGUGACUGGGGUGAAGUC
rnacentral:rRNA from 1 species